GACGAACGCUGGCGGCGUGCUUAACACAUGCAAGUCGAACGGAAAGGCCCUGCUUUUGUGGGGUGCUCGAGUGGCGAACGGGUGAGUAACACGUGAGUAACCUGCCCUUGACUUUGGGAUAACUUCAGGAAACUGGGGCUAAUACCGGAUAGGAGCUCCUGCUGCAUGGUGGGGGUUGGAAAGUUUCGGCGGUUGGGGAUGGACUCGCGGCUUAUCAGCUUGUUGGUGGGGUAGUGGCUUACCAAGGCUUUGACGGGUAGCCGGCCUGAGAGGGUGACCGGCCACAAGGGGACUGAGAUACGGCCCAGACUCCUACGGGAGGCAGCAGUGGGGAAUAUUGCACAAUGGGCGGAAGCCUGAUGCAGCAGCGCCGCGUGCGGGAUGACGGCCUUCGGGUUGUAAACCGCUUUCGCCUGUGACGAAGCGUGAGUGACGGUAAUGGGUAAAGAAGCACCGGCUAACUACGUG
rnacentral:rRNA from 1 species